rnacentral:rRNA from 1 species
UACGUAGGGGGCAAGCGUUGUCCGGAUUUAUUGGGCGUAAAGAGCGUGUAGGCGGCCUGGAAGGUCAGCUGUGAAAACUCGAGGCUCAACCUCGAGACGUCGGUUGAAACCACCUGGCUAGAGUCCGGAAGAGGAGAGUGGAAUUCCCGGUGUAGCGGUGAAAUGCGCAGAUAUCGGGAAGAACACCCGUGGCGAAGGCGGCUCUCUGGGACGGUACUGGACGCUGAGACGCGAAAGCGUGGGGAGCGAACAGG